AUGGUAGCGGCGGUGCUCGGGCUGGUGCUCGCGUCGGCGCCGGCGGCGCGGGCGUGGAGCACCGAGGGCCACAUGCUCACAUGCCAGAUCGCACAGGAUCUGCUGGAGCCAGCGGCGGCGCAGGCGGUGAAGAACCUUCUGCCGGAGGAGGCGGGCGGCGACCUGUCGGCGAUGUGCGUGUGGCCGGACCAGGUGAGGCACUGGUACAAGUACCGCUGGACCAGCCCGCUGCACUUCAUCGACACCCCCGACAAGGCCUGCACCUUCGACUACGCCAGGGACUGCCAUGACCCCAGCGGCGCCAAGGACAUGUGCGUCGCCGGCGCCGUCGCCAACUUCACGUCCCAGCUCAUGCACUACAAGCAGGGCAGCGCCGACCGCAAGUAUAACCUGACCGAGGCCCUGCUAUUCCUGUCACACUUCAUGGGAGAUAUUCACCAGCCCAUGCACGUGGGGUUCACGAGCGACAUGGGGGGCAACUCGGUGAACCUACGCUGGUUCAAGCACAAAUCCAACCUCCACCAUGUAUGGGACAGGGAGAUAAUACUCACUGUUCUUGCCGAGCGCUACGGCAAGGACAUGGCCGCGUUCCGCAAGGACCUCCAGCACAACAUCACCAAGGGCUCGUGGUCCGACGAGUCUUCAUGGAAAGAUUGCGCGGACCUCAUGUCCUGCCCAACCAAGUAUGCCACGGAGAGCAUAGGCCUGGCGUGCAAGUGGGGCUACGACGGCGUCCACGACGGAGACACACUGUCCGAGGACUACUUCGGGUCGAGGCUCCCGAUCGUGACGCGGCGGAUCGCGCAGGGGGGAGUGAGGCUGGCCAUGUUCCUCAACCGGGUCUUCGGAGACCACAAGCCCCACAGCCGCGACGUGGCUGCGCCGGUGAACUUGGUCGUGGCUCAUGACGAUGAGCUCUAG
rnacentral:rRNA from 1 species